rnacentral:lncRNA from 1 species
UUCACAAUAGCCAGGACAUGGAAACAACCCAAAUGUCCAUCGACAGAUGAUUGGAUUCGGAAGAUGUGGUAUAUAUACACAAUGGAAUACUACUCAGCCAUAAAAAAGAAUGACAUAAUGCCAUUUGCAGCAACAUGGAUGGAACUAGAGAAUCUCAUCCUGAGUGAAAUGAGCCAGAAAGACAAAGACAAAUACCAUAUGAUAUCACUUAUAACUGGAAUCUAAUAUCCAGCAGAAAUGAACAUCUCCUCAGAAAAGAAAAUCAUGGACUUGAAGAAAAGACUUGUGGCUGCCUGAUGGGAGGGGGAGGGAGUGGGAGGGAUCGGGAGCUUGGGGUUAUCAGACACAGCUUAGAAUAGAUUUACAAGGAGAUCCUGCUGAAUAGCAUUGAGAACUUUGUCUAGAUACUCAUGUUGCAACAGAAGAAAGGGUGGGGAAAAAAUGUAAUUGUAAUGUAUACAUGUAAGGAUAACUUGAUCCCCUUGCUGUACAGUGGGAAAAUAAAAAAAAAAAAUAAAAAAAAAGAAAGGAGUUAGUGGUAAGGGCAUUAAGCCAGAAAUCCAGAAGAUUUAAGAUUCAUGUCCUAGCUUAACAAUUUUCUGGUUGUGCAGCCUUAGAUAAGUCAUUUCACCUCUUUGAGUCUGUUCCUUGAAUUAUAAGAUGACUGGUUUGGAUUGAAAGAUCAUCUUCUAGCACAGCAAAGGAUGCCAUAAACAAAACAACAAGGCAACCUACGGAAUGGGAGAAAAUUUUUGCAAAUGAUGAUACCAACAAAGCCUUAAUCUCCAAAAUAUACAAAUAACUCAUACAACUCAACAACAACAACAAACAACCCAAUUGAAAAAUGGGCAGGAGACCUAAAUAGACAUUCUCCAAAGCCGAUAUUCAGAUUGGCCAGUAAGAACAUGAAAAGAUGCUUAACAUUGCUAAUUAUGAGGGAAAUGCAAAUCAAAACUUCAAUGAAGUAUCACCUCACACUUAUCAGAAUAUGGCCAUCAUUAAUAAGUCUACAAAUAACAAAUGCUGGAGAGGGUGUGGAGAAAAGGGAACCCCUCCUACACUGUGGGAAUGUAAAUUACUACAACCACUAUGGAAAACAGAAUAGAGGUUCCUCAGAAAACUAAACAGAGAACUACCAUAUGAUCCAGCAGUCCCACUUCUAGGCAUAUAUCCAGACAAAACAAGGCAAAAAGACACAUGCACCCCUUUGUUCAUAGCAGUACUAUUCACAAUACCCAAGACAUGAAAACAACCUAAAUUUCCAUCAACAGAUGAUUGGAUUAAGAAGAUGUGGUACAGGAGUUCCUGCUGUGGCACAGCAGGUUAGAACUCUCUGUUGUCAUUGCAGUUGCUUGGGUCACUGCUGUGGCACUGGUUUAAUCCCUGGCCUGGGAACUUCCACAUGCCGCAGGAGCGGCCCUAGAAAAGGCAAAAAGACACACACACACACACACACACAAAGCUGCUUGCUUUGUCAAAUCCUAUCAGUCUAAAAAUUUCCCCAGAAGCUUUUCUGUUUAAUAUGUUUAUUUGAGCUCCAACCCCACCACAAACACACACAGAGUUGUGAACAUAAUAGGUGUUCAGUAAAUAUGUUGAAUAAAUGGAAGAAAAAAAGGGCACACUGCAGGAGUUCCUGUCAUGGCACAGUGGUAACAAACCUGACUAGUAUCCUUGAGGGUGCAGGUUCGAUUCCUGGCUUUGCUCAGUGGGGUAAGGAUCUGGUGUUGCUGUGAGCCAUGUGGUAGUUUGCGAACGUGGUUCGGAUCUGGCAUAGCUGUGGCUGUGGCGCAGGCCGGCGGCUGCAGCUCUGAUUAGACCCCUAGCCUGGGAACUUCCAUAUUUUAGGGCGGGUGCAGCCCUUAAAAAUCAAAACAAAAAGAAGAAGAAGAAGACACACUGGGAUUUCUUCAGUUUUGUGGCCUCCUUUCUCUCCUAGAGUUCUUGCUUGGAUCAAAAUAGGAAGUGGUAAGGUUGUCACAUGAAUACAAAUCAUGGUGUUGUGAUAAGUGCCAGACUGGCUUCAAGGCAUUAAAGAAGUUAAAGCUUAGUCCUCUCUAUUUCUUUUUCUUUUUUCUUUUUUUCUUUUUGUCUUUUCUAGGGCCGCUCCCACGGCAUAUGGAGGUUCCCAGGCUAGGGGUCCAAUCAGAGCUGUAGCCACCGGCCUACACCAGAGCCCCCGCAACAUGGGAUCUGAGCCGUGUCUGUGACCUACACCACAGCUCAACAGCAACACCGGAUCCUAAACCCACUGAGCAAGGGCAGGGAUCGAACCCGCAACCUCAUGGUUCCUAGUUAGAUUCGUUAACCACUGCGCCACAACGGGAACCCCUAGUCCUCUCUAUUUCUUUCCCAGCAUUCAUAGGUCUGAACAUCAGUUACCCCAUCCUUUGCAACCUCUAUAGAUAGCCUGGCUAGCCUGGUCCUAACCAGAGGCAGGGAUCCCUAGACCUUUUCAUAUUCUAUGUUAAAGAGUUUUCUCUGGGCUUAUUGAAGUAUAUUUUAGGAGAAGUUGAUCAGUUCUUUGGUGUUAUUACCAUUCAGGUAUAUCUCAAAGACUAUAAAAUUGAGAUUGAACAAGCCAUUAUUUCUUAUCAUGGAGAUGAGAGCACGCAUACUUAAAUGAGGGUAAUAAUGGAAUUGCGGGAUCUUCUUUACUGGGUACUGUUUUUCUUGGCCAGCCUGACAUGCAGAGUUUCCUGGCCAGGGAUUGAACCCAUGCCACAGCUGUAACCAGAGCCACAGCAGUGACAAUGCCAGAUCCUUAAUCUCCUGAGCCACAAGGAAACUCCACUGAGUACUGUUUUGAAAAGUAGGUAGUCAUGAUCAAUCUACAAAGAUUGCGUUAAACUUAGCACUUGCAUUGGGCAAGUUUAAACUGACAGCUGUAACAAGCAGUCUCCAGCUUCCAGAAGCUUUAGAUAAUGAAAGUUUAUUGCUGACUCAUAUAAGAAUAUAGUGCAAGUAUUCUUGGUUAGCCAGUAAUCCCCCACAUAGUACUGCUGGGACCCAAGUUCUUUCCUUAUUACAGUGCCACCUCUUCUAGAUCUUUGGAGUCCCUUCCAUUAAGUUGCAAGAUAAAAAGAGGGAGAUUGGAAGAGCAGAAAGUUUUCAUAGAACAAGCUUAGAUGCAUGUUAUUUCCCAUCCUCAUUUUAUUGGCCAGAAUUCAGUCAUAUGGCCCCACCUAACUGCAAAGAAGGCUAGGAAAACCAGUCUAGCUGAGUGCCCAAUAAGAAAGGGAACCGGGGUAUAGUGAACACACAGCAGUCUCUGCUACAGCUCUACAUAUGCACUUCCCAUCUAGCAUCAUGGUUUUAGCAGCACUCUGUUAAAAAAAAAAAAAAA